rnacentral:lncRNA from 1 species
GGCCGGCUUGGAGGCUGGGGGAGGGCCCAGAAGUGGAAUAAUUCAGGAAAGUGCAGGUUCUGGGAAGUCUCGGUGGGUUCCCCGCAAAAUCAGAGAUGGCAUCUCACUAUGUUGCCCAGGCUGAUCUUGAACUCCUGACCUCAAGUGAUCCUCUCUCCUUGGCCUCCUAAAGUGCUGGGAUUCCAGGUGUGAGCCACUUCACCCAGCCACAUUUAUCCAUCUUGUAAAAUAUUGCUUUGUUUUUUGGUGCAUUUCAAAGAAUCACUGACCCUGGAGGAUGUGGCUGUGGAGUUCACUUGGGAGGAGUGGCAGCUCCUCGGCCCUGCUCAGAAGGACCUGUACCGAGACGUGAUGUUGGAGAACUAUAGCAACCUCGUGUCAGUGGGGUAUCAAGCCAGCAAACCAGAUGCACUCUUCAAGUUGGAACAAGGAGAGCCAUGGACAGUAGAAAAUGAAAUCCACAGCCAAAUCUGUCCAGAAAUCAAGAAAGUUGACAAUCAUCUACAGAUGCACUCACAAAAGCAAAGAUGUCUGAAGAGAGUGGAACAAUGCCAUAAACAUAAUGCAUUUGGAAACAUCAUUCAUCAGAGGAAAAGUGAUUUUCCU